rnacentral:rRNA from 1 species
UACGUAGGGUGCGAGCGUUAAUCGGAAUUACUGGGCGGAAAGCGUGCGCAGGCGGCGCGUUAAGACAGGUGUGAAAGCCCCGAGCUUAACUUGGGAAUUGCGCUUGUGACUGGCGAGCUGGAGUGUGGCAGAGGGAGGUGGAAUUCCACGUGUAGCAGUGAAAUGCGUAGAGAUGUGGAGGAACACCGAUGGCGAAGGCAGCCUCCUGGGCCAGCACUGACGCUCAUGCACGAAAGCGUGGGGAGCAAACAGG